GGGCCCGUGGCGCAGACUGGAUAGCGCGUCGGCCUCCUAAGUCGAUGGUCGAGGGUUCAAAUCCCUCCGGGCCCGCCA
rnacentral:tRNA from 1 species